rnacentral:rRNA from 1 species
UACGUAGGGUGCGAGCGUUGUCCGGAAUUACUGGGCGUAAAGAGCUCGUAGGUGGCUUGUCGCGUUGUCCGUGAAAACUCACAACUCAAUUGUGGGCGUGCGGGCGAUACGGGCAGACUGGAGUACUGCAGGGGAGACUGGAAUUCCUGGUGUAGCGGUGAAAUGCGCAGAUAUCAGGAGGAACACCGGUGGCGAAGGCAGGUCUCUGGGCCACUACUGACGCUGAGAAGCGAAAGCAUGGGGAGCGAACAGG